rnacentral:misc_RNA from 1 species
AAGUUACUUGCAGAUAUUUGGUUCAUGUGAUUAUUUAAACAAAAGCUUGACAUAGAAGAGACAAACCUACUUGCCCCCAAAAAUCAUACGGUGAAACAAACAAAAAAAGCACAUGAGGAAACUUUAUGCAAGAACAUUGUUUACAUAACGUACAGGUACACAGCACCUGUCCUGUACUAUAGUCGAUACAUAAAGUUAUCUAUCCUGUGACCAACAUAUGUGAAUUAGAACAUAUUUUAAUUCACAGGCUGGGAGGAGGGUCGAGGAGCAGGCUCUGAACUUGUUUGUUGAAACAAAAAAGAGGAAGGAAAAGCUAUUUCACUUCAAUCUCCUGUCUACCAAUUCUCCGAGUGUUUACUCGGGAAUUUGCUCUUCUACUGACUACCAAGGUCCCGUCACUGUCCUUCGCAAGCAUAUUAGUUUAUUUUCCCAUGGCACAUUCAUCUUUUCCAAUAACUGAUUUUUCUGCUUCUCGAUAAAUUCAGCCUGUUUCUUCUGCAACUCUUGCUUAAUUUCUUUAAGCUUUGCUACUUCAGCUUCCAACUCUAAAGUAUAUGCCUGCUUCCGAUCCCUUGAUCUGGCCGCAGACUCCCUGUUCUUUAUCAUCCUCUUACGCCUUCUCUCAACAACUUUUUCAAAAGAGGUGCAUGAUCUCCUUCCUCUUCCACCUUCACCACAUGCAUAAGGUGAAGGUGAAAGAGAAGAUGUAUCAAGAUUUCCAGGGGAUACUCCUUUUACUGGCAUGGUCAUAACACCACCCUGCAUGACACUACUAGUAUUUGCAGACGGAUUAGACAUGGGAAGCCUUUUCCCUGGGCUCCCUAAUUGCAUGGGUGAUGCAAAUUCCACAGUUGUUUGUUUGGGAAAAAGGGGCUGCUGUGGUGAAGACGUGGUGGUACUGACCACAUUAAAUAUGUUAUUCGCUGCAAUUUGAUGUCCAGGGUUUUGGGUUGCUUGUUGAAAUGCUAUGGUCACACUACAACUAGGUUGAGUGAAACCACUAGCAAAUGUAACAUC